GUUGCAACAGUGAUCCUGCUCAGAACGAGAGGAACCGCAGGUCCGGAUAUUCGGUGUCGGUGCUUGGCUGAGGAGCCAGUGGUGCAAAGUUCCCAUCUGGGGGGUUGUGACUGAACGCCUCAAAGCAACGCGAGAUCUCCAAAGCAGC
rnacentral:ncRNA from 1 species